UGGGGAAUAUUGGACAAUGGGCGAAAGCCUGAUCCAGCCAUGCCGCGUGUGUGAAGAAGGUCUUCGGAUUGUAAAGCACUUUAAGUUGGGAGGAAGGGCAGUAAGUUAAUACCUUGCUGCUUUGACGUUACCGACAGAAUAAGCACCGGCUAACUCUGUGCCAGCAGCCGCGGUAAUACAGAGGGUGCAAGCGUUAAUCGGAAUUACUGGGCGUAAAGCGCGCGUAGGUGGUUUGUUAAGUUGGAUGUGAAAGCCACGGGCUCAACCUGGGAAAUGCAUCCAAAACUGGCAAGCUAGAGUACGGUAGAGGGUGGUGGAAUUUCCUGUGUAGCGGUGAAAUGCGUAGAUAUAGGAAGGAACACCAGUGGCGAAGGCGACCACCUGGACUGAUACUGACACUGAGGUGCGAAAGCGUGGGGAGCAAACA
rnacentral:rRNA from 1 species